AACGAACGCUGGCGGCAGGCCUAACACAUGCAAGUCGAGCGAGGACUUCGGUCCUAGCGGCGUACGGGUGAGUAACGCGUGGGAACGUGCCCUUUUCUUCGGAAUAGCUCUGGGAAACUGGGAGUAAUACCGGAUGAGCCCUUUGGGGGAAAGAUUUAUCGGCGAAGGAUCGGCCCGCGUUGGAUUAGGUAGUUGGUGGGGUAAUGGCCUACCAAGCCGACGAUCCAUAGCUGGGUUGAGAGGAUGAUCAGCCACACUGGGACUGAGACACGGCCCAGACUCCUACGGGAGGCAGCAGUGGGGAAUCUUAGACAAUGGGGGAAACCCUGAUCGAGCCAUGCCGCGUGAGCGAUGAAGGCCUUAGGGUUGUAAAGCUCUUUCAGCUGGGAAGAUAAUGACGGUACCAGCAGAAGAAGCCCCGGCUAACUCCGUG
rnacentral:rRNA from 1 species